GGGUUGUGAGGUUAAGCGACUAAGCGUACACGGUGGAUGCCCUGGCAGUCAGAGGCGAUGAAGGACGUGCUAAUCUGCGAUAAGCGCCGGUAAGGUGAUAUGAACCGUUAUAACCGGCGAUUUCCGAAUGGGGAAACCCAGUGUGACUCGUCACACUAUCAUUAACUGAAUCCAUAGGUUAAUGAGGCGAACCGGGGGAACUGAAACAUCUAAGUACCCCGAGGAAAA
rnacentral:rRNA from 2 species